rnacentral:lncRNA from 1 species
UCUCGUUUCUCCCAUAGGAUUUCUGUCCCUCACAUUUCCCGGUUCUUUCCUUCUUCAACUAAUAAAGCCGCCUGCUUGUUUCCUUAUUACUGGGUUUUAAUGUUUCAUUGAUUUCAGAAUUUUUCAAUUCCAUUUUAUUACAUUGAUCUGCUUCGAGUGAUUUUCAAUAUUGCAGGAUCUCAUCUGUCAGCUUCUUAGGUGAGGAUUUUUACAAAACUGAAAUUCUUCAAAGCUUUGAUCUUUCUUUUUCUUUUAUGGAGUAAGUAUAGGAAGAGAGGUUAGAAUUUGAGUUCAAUUUUAUAAAUGACAGUGAGUUCUUGAAAUAAUAGGUACUAAGAUUUAAUUUUGAUCUUCUGAGGAAUUCCUUCGUGUGUUUGUCUUUUUUAGAUUUAAUUUUGAUCUUCUGAGGAAUUCCUUCGUGUGUUUGUCUUUUUUCUCAACUUAAGCAGAAAAAAGAUUCUAACUUAGAUCUCAGGUUUAUCCAUCUUUUUUUAAGUGAUCAAAUGUACAUUGAAGGAUAUGCAUAGUUCAUAAUCAUUUAAUGAGUUACAUGUAAGAUAUAUGGAUUUAUAUCUAGAUAUAUGGACUUAUAUCUAUACACAUAUG